rnacentral:rRNA from 1 species
GCCUACGGGGGGCAGCAGUGGGGGAUAUUGCGCAAUGGGGGAAACCCUGAUGCAGCGACGCCGCGUGAGUGAAGAAGUAUUUCGGUAUGUAAAGCUCUUUCCGCAGGGAAGAAAAUGACGGUACCUGACUAAGAAGCACCGGCUAAAUACGUGCCAGCAGCCGCGGUAAUACGUAUGGUGCAAGCGUUAUCCGGAUUUACUGGGUGUAAAGGGAGCGCAGGCGGCGCGUUAAGCCUGGUGUGAAAG